GCGACUCGUGGGCGUCAAUACUGGGCUGAGUUUGUGGCGCGCUUAGUGAUGGGAUGGCCCUGUGCAGGACGCCGACACGAAAAGAUGAAGAGUUCAAUCCGUGCUGUCUGAACUCACAGUGUAGCAGGCGAGAUAGACGGGAAGAUCGGUAGGGUGGGAGAUGCCGGAAAGGCUUCCCGUGAGACUGGAUAAGAAAUCAAAAAUCUGGUGAAAUUGCCGGCAAGAGGGAGUUAAGGACAUUCCAGGCAGAGGCAAGUCCAGAUUCCUAAGAUGAGGACACAGCAUCCUGGGCCACUGUCACUAAUACAAAUUUGCCUCUGGAGGGACUCUACGGAAGAUAAUUCCCCUGAAAUUUGGAGAGUUGAAUUAAGCUAGGACUGAUUCUGGCUGGAAUUUGUGGUGGCUACGUACCCUAGAGGGCCUCAAGGAAACCCACGGUUCAAGACAGCCCUGACAGAUUCUGGAGUCUAGAACAGAAAUGGAUUUGAACAUGGGCAAGGCCAACCACCCAGUUCACGGCCUGUGUACAGCAAAGAUUACGUUACAGCCUGAGAGCUAAGCCUGGAAGCUCUUUCAUCCAUCCGUUUGUCCAUCUAUCCAUCCAUCUGCUCAUCCAUCCCUCCAUCUGCUCAACAAACGUUAGAGAAUCAAUCCUUGUGUCAGAUACUGGGGCUGCCCUCAAGGAGCUUUUAUAGAGUUCAGGGUACAGCCAGGUGGGGGAGACAGAUCACUAUAAAAACCUACCACUAUAAUCCAAAGGACAAGAGCAAAAAUAGUAAAGAGGAGAGAAGACCCAAAUUUGCCUGGUGGGUCAGAGAGGGCUUUCUAGAAGAGGUAAAAAAUCUUCGGGGCUAUCACUUCACCUUGCCUGGUGGAUAAAGGGAGGACUUUCCAGAUACAGUGGACAGAAUGUGCAGAGGCAGGAGCCAUGAGUGGCAGAGGCAGGGGAGGGACUGCAGAGACAGGUUGGAGCCAAAGCACGUGGCACUGGAGCCAUAGCCAAAGGAACAAACUGUGAGACCUGGGACUUGAAUUUGGAGGUGGUGAAAAGUGACAAGGUCUUCACAGAAGAGUGAUUUUUUCAACUUAGGGAAGGCUGACCCCAGACCAAUGCUGCCAAAGUGUGGUCUGUGGGCUGUUAGCAGUUCGUGACGAUGUAAGUACAGGAAUUGAGAUUAAGCAUUUAGAACACCUACAGCACUUUGAUAGUCAUUUUACUUUUUAAAUUUUGAGCUGGCAUUUUAUAUGCCUGGUUUUUUUUUGUUUUUGUUUUUUUAUUUUUUUUGAGACAGUCUCGCUCUGUCGCCCAGGCUGGAGUGCAGUGGCGCGAUCUCUGCUCACUGCAAGCUCCGCCUCCCGGGUUCACGCCAUUCUCCUGCCUCAUCCUCCCAAGUAGCUGGGACUGCAGGCGCCUGCCGCCUCGCCCAGCUAAUUUUUUGUAUUUUUAAUAGAGACGGGGUUUCACCAUGUUAGCCAGGAUGGUCUCAAUCUCCUGAUCUCGUGAUCUGCCCGCCUUGGCCUCCCAAAAUGCUGGGAUUACAGGUGUGAGCCACCACGCCCAGCCUUAUUCUCUUUUUCUAAUAGUUGCACUUUAUCAUAUUUUACAAAUGUGUGAGUCUGCUAUGGAUUAGAAAUUAAUAAGAGAUUUUGCCACAGAUAGUUUGAGAAGCCCAGCACUGCCACUCAACAAAUGCUGGUGCAUUCAGAUGGUGAAAUAUUCUGCAGCUAUUAAAGGAGUUAAAACUGCCUCCACUUACCUGGAGGCCCAUCUGUGACACCUUUUUAGGUUAAAAGGAAAAGAAAAACUUGCUUAGGACUGAAUAUGAGCGGUUGCAAUUUGUAACAAUGAUGUAUAUAUACAUAUACAUUUUCAUGUAUUUGUAUGAACAUAAAAGUAUUGAAGGAUAUUCAUCAAACUGCUAAAAGGGUUGCUUCAGAGUAACGGACUCGGAGAAGGCAGAUUAAUUUUCUCUUAAUGGAACUCUGUAUUGUAUCACUUGUAAAAAUAAGCAUGUGUUAUCUUUAUGAUAAAAAAGUAAAAACCUAAAAAAGAAAAU
rnacentral:lncRNA from 1 species